ensembl:lncRNA
CUCUCUCUCUCAGUGUAUUUUAAUGUAAAAGAACCUCCCCUCAUAUGGGGGAACGUCCUCUUUCUUUCUUUGUUAAAGUCAUGUAAUUUUCUGAUGUGUCAGUAGAGCUGCUGUCUGUCAGUGAAGACACUGAAUGAGACUCGAUCUGAGACUCUUCUGCUGGGAUUGAGUUCUUUUGAAGCUGGACUUUAGAGAAAUGAUGCUCAUCUUUGGACUGAUGCUGCUGCUGCUGCAAACUGCUGCAUGUCUGGAGUUUAACUGCAGUUUUGAUCAGUCUGGUCCCUGUUACACAGCUCUGGGACACAAACUCAAUCUGCUGAUGGUGCAGGAUGCUAGUGAAUAUGAUCUGAAGAUAAUAAAGAGAAUAAACAACAACACAGCAGAUGAUCCAGUUUGUAGAGUAAAGAAUGGCAGGAUGAGGAUGAGUGAAUGUGAUCUUUAUAAUAACAGACCUGAAGUGACAGUCAUUAAUGGGAUUCUGAUAAUAAACCGUGUGAUCAGAACAGAUUCAGGGAAUUACAGAUUAAAUCUCGAGAGCUCAGACGGCUCAGAAACAUCUAGAGAUCUUCAAGUGAUUGUUGAAGCUCCUAUUGGCUCAGUGGAAGUGUCAAUCAUCUGCUCCUCCAGUGGGGUGAUGAGGGUGUUCUGCUCCUCUGAGGGGGAUCAGCUCCUCUACAGCUGGACUCUGAAUGGAGAUCCACUGAUGGAUGCAAACAGCAGCAUUGAUCUGGAUGAGAGAACUGAUGGAGACAUCAGCUGCAGUGUGAAGAACCACGUCAGUCACGCACUGAAGACCAUUAGACUCAAACCCUGUCCUGGUGAGAUCAUGUCUGUUCAUCUACAGCAGUGGUUCCCAACCAGGUUCCUGGAAGCCGCCCAACACUACAGGUUAUCCAUGUCUCCUCAAUCAAAUACGCCUAUUUCAGAUCAUGAGCUCAUUAGUAGAGACUCUAAGACCUAA